rnacentral:rRNA from 1 species
GAUGAACGCUGGCGGCGUGCUUAACACAUGCAAGUCGAACGGAAAGGCCCUGCGUUUGUGGCGUGCUCGAGUGCCGAACGCGUGUGUAUCACGUGAGUAUCCCGCCCUUGACUGUGGGAUAACUUCAGGAAACUGGGGCUAAUACCGCAUAGGAGCUCUUGCUGCAUGGUGUUGGUUGGAAAGUUUCGGUGGUGGGGGAUGGACUCGCGGCUUAUCCGCUUGAUGGUGGGGUAGUUGCUUACAAAGGCUAUGACGGGUAGCCGGCCUGAGAGCGUGACCGGGCACAUGGGGACUGAGGUAGGGCGCAGACUCCUACGGGAGGCAACAGUGGGGAAUAUUACACAGUGGGCGGAAGUCUGAUGCGGCAGCGCCGCGUGCGUGAUGCCGUCCUUCGGGUUGAAAACCGCUUUGGCCUGUGACGAAGCGUGAGUGACGGUAAUGGGUAAAGAAGCACCGGCUAACUACGUG